rnacentral:lncRNA from 10 species
AGGAAGUGAAUCUUCACAGGGAAGGAAGCAACAAAACUCUGCCUUUGGCUUUUGCUGGCUGAGCAGGGAAAGGCCUAUAGACACAGGGCAUUGGGCAGGAGCUAGAACAGCCCUCCCUAGAGCACUACAUAAAGCAGCCAAUAUUUUGCAAAGCAUAGGGAAGAGUGAAAGUCAUCCGGGGCAUUUGCAGACACAGCACUAAGAACUUGGUGACAACAGCCCUGAAGCAAAACAGCAGCAUGUACUGGGCAGGGCUUGGGAGAUAAGACAGGACAUCUGAAGCUAAACAUGAGUUGUAAAAUAGCUCAAAGACGAUGAAAGGCAAUAACCUGGAAAAGUGUACCGGACAAAAAACCCAGAUCCCCUCUGAAAGCUACAAUCAAAGUGUCAUCCACAAAAUCUUAUCUCAAGCCUUGACUAGAGAAGGACCCACUUCCAAGACCACAGAGUUGAAUGAAUUCAGUCCUUGCAGCCCGUUGAACUGAGGGCCUCCCCAACAUGCUCACCUGCUUCAUCAAAGCCUGCGAGAGAGAGAGUCCACUAGCAAGAGGACAUUGCAGUCUUAUCUAAUGCAAUCACUGAAGUGACAUCCUGUCACCUUGGUCACCUUUUCUAUUCUAUUCAUUAUAAAUGAGUCCCAAGUCCUGCCACACUCAAGUGGAGGGGAUUACACAGGGCUGGAGUACCAGCGGUGGGGAUAAUUUGGGGUCAUCUUAGAGUUCUUCCAUCACACGGGAAUUCUCAGCUCACCAAAUCUGGGAUUCCGCAUCUGGCCAUUCCUUAAGCUGAAGGCCUGGCAUAUUUUUGAGUGUCCAUUUGGAUCAGCUAAUAAACCCAGGGUUUGUCUACUGGCUGGAGGAGUAAGAACUAUAAGGCUAAUUGAAAUGAAUCUACUUAAAAUAGUGACCUGAUUUUUCUAAUAAUUACUGGAAGGUAAGGGUUGAUUGAGACUUUAAAAUAAAACCAAAAAUUAUUCUAAAUUUUUCAUAUUUUAUAUAAGAAAGUUUUGAUUUUUACUGCAACCAUUUUCUAACUCUUAAAAUAAAGAAAGGAUAAUUCAAGUGUUGAUAUUUUCCCAACAUAAAUAUACAGGAACAUAAUGUAGCUUACUUGUAUUUUAUCUUUGAUUUACACAAGAGAAUUUUUAUACAAAUAUUCCAGGCUCAUUAGUUUUCCCAAAGGCUUCUCAUAAUCCUUUGAUAUUUAAAUCAUUCCCUCUUUCAAGUCAUUUUUUAUCUGCCUUGUCGAUACUCUUUUUGUUAAUUUGCCCAACUCAUCUGGAUCUUCCUUUGUCACUGGCUCUGUAAAUUUGAGUAUUUCUCCAAUAAUGCUCCUGUCAACUUUAUGAAACCCUUUGUCUUUUGCAAGAUUUAAAAAUUCCCUUUAUAAUAAGCAUUCUACAGUAAGUGAAGACUCACUAGCAAAUAUAUGAGUGAUGGAUCAAGAGAGACAAAGUGUUAAAAAUUGACAGAUGCAACUUUUAAAAAUGAAAUUCUUGGUUACCAUCUAACAAAGUAAGUACAGGACCUGUAUGCUGAAAACUACAAAACACUAAUGAAGGAAUCAAAGAAAGUGUAAAUAAAUGGAGAGAUAUACCAUGUUCAUGAAUUGGAAGUCUCAGAAUUAUUAAAAUGUAAAUUCUAUCCAAAUUGAUCUAUAGAUUCAACCCAAUCACAAUCAAAAUCCUAACUGGCUGUAUAAAUUGACAAGCUGAUUCCAACAUUCACAUAAAAAUCCAAAGAAUGUAGAAGAGCCAAACAGCUUUGAGAAAAGGAGAAAAAAGUUAAAGGAUUCACAUUAUCUGAUUCCAAGGCUUCUUAUAAAGCUACAGUCAUUGAGUCAGUAUGGUACUGGCAAAAGGAGAGACACAUUCUAUGUAUCUAUCUGUCUAUAUAUCUAUGUGAAAUAUAAUAAAGAGUUCAGAAAUAGAUCCACAAAUAAGAUCAAUUGAAUUUUGGCAAAGAUGAAAAAAUAAUUCAAUGGAGAAAGGACAGAAUUUUCAAUAAAUGAUGCUGAAACAAUUAGACAUCCAUAUGCAGGAAAAAAAUGUUUGACCUAUAUGUUCAUUUUAUACAAAAAAUUAAUUCAAAAAGAAUCAUAGACCUAAAUGUAAAACAUAAAAACUUUUAAACUUUUAAAAUAAAAUAUAGGUAAAAUCUUCGUGACCUACAAUUAGGCAGAGUUCUUGGAGAUGACAUCAAGAAUUUAAUUCAUAAAAAGAAAAAAUUUAUAAGUUGGAUUUCAUUAAAACUAGAAACUUUUGCUCUAAAAAGAGCAAAAUUAAAAUUAUAAGAAUAAAAAGAAAAGCCAUGGACUGUCAUAUGCCUGACAAAGGAUAUACAGACUAUAGGAAGUACUCUCAAACUCAACAGUAAGAAAAUAAGCAACCCAAGUUAAAAAUGGGCAAAAUAUUUGAACAGACACUUCACUAAAGAAGAUUAUAUGGAUGUUAAAUAAGCAUAAAUAAAGAAGAUAUAUGGAUGGCAAAUAAGCAUAAGAUUCUCAGCAUCAUUACUCAUUAGGGAAAUGCACAUUGAAACCACAAUGACAUGCCACUACAUACCUACUAUAAUGGGGAAAAAACUGACAAUACCAACUGCAGAGCCACUGGAGCACUCAUACAUUGCUAAUGGGAAUGCAAAAUGGUAAAACCACUUUACAAAACAGUUUGGGAGUUUCUUAUAAAGUUAUAACACCAAAACCAGAAACAACAAAAUGUCCCUCAACUGGUGAGGGGUGCUAUGGUCUGAAUGUUUCUGUCCUUCCAAAAUUUGUAAGUUGAAACCUAAUCCCCAAUGCAUGGGUAUUUGGAAGUGGGGACUUUAGGGUGGGAUUAAAUUAUGAAGUCAGACCGCUCAUGAACGGGGUCAGUGCCUGAUAUGGUUAGAAUAUGUAACUCUUCCAAAUCUCAUGUUGAAAUAUAGUCUCCAGUGCUGGAAGUGGGGCCUGGUGUGAGGUGUUUGGUCAUGGAGGUGGAUCCCUCAUUAAUGGCUUGGCACAUCCCCUUGGUGAUAAGUGAGCUCUCACUCUGAGUUCAUGUGAGAUCUGGUUGUUUAAAAGUAUGUGGCAUUCCCCCACACACAAUUUUGCCAUGUGAUGUGCCUUCUCCUGCUUUAUCUUCCACCAUGAGUAAAAGCUUCCUGAGGUCUCCCCAGAAGUCGAGGAGAUGCCAGCACCAUGCUUCCUGUACAGUCUGCAGAAUUAUGAGCCAAUAAAACCUCUUUUCUUUAUAAAUCACUCAAUCUCAAGUAUUUCUUUAUAGCAAUGCAACAAUGGACAAAGGCCGAGCACCGUGGCUCACGCCUGUAAUCCCAGCAGUUUGGGAGGUGGGUGGAUCACUUGAGGCCAGGAGUUCGAGACCAGCCUGGCCAACAUGGUGAGACCCUAUCUCUACUAAAAUACAAAACUUAGCAGGCAUGGUGGUGCACGCCUGUAAUCCCAGCUACUCGGUAGGCUGAGGUAGGAGAAUUGCUUGAACCCAGGAAGCAGAGGUUGCAGUGAGCUGAGAUCACACCACUGCACUCUAGCCUGGGUGGCAGAGUGAGACUCCGCCUCAGAAAAAAAAAAAAGAAUGGACUAACACAGUGUCCUGACAAAAGAGGCCCCAGAAGAUCCCCAUCCACC